GCGCAGCAGGCGCGAAACCUCCGCAAUGCGGGAAACCGCGACGGGGGACCCCGAGUGCCGUGGCAACGCCACGGCUUUUCCGGAGUGUAAAAAGCUCCGGGAAUAAGGGCUGGGCAAGGCCGGUGGCAGCCGCCGCGGUAAUACCGGCGGCCCGAGUGGUGGCCGCUAUUAUUGGGCCUAAAGCGUCCGUAGCCGGGCCCGUAAGUCCCUGGCGAAAUCCCACGGCUCAACCGUGGGGCUUGCUGGGGAUACUGCGGGUCUUGGGACCGGGAGAGGCGGGGGGUACCCCUGGGGGUAGGGGUGAAGUCCUAUAAUCCCAGGGGGACCGCCAGUGGCGAAGGCGCCCCGCUGGAACGGGUCCGACGGUGAGGGACGAAGGCCAGGGGAGCAAACCGGAUUAGAUACCCGCGUAGU
rnacentral:rRNA from 1 species